rnacentral:sRNA from 1 species
GGUUUUGAUUUUUAAGAGCUGCCUCAGGAGGAGCAGGGGCCAUUUGGAGAAUUCCUCCUCGAACCUCUUGGGGUCCUGCUUAGUCCUCAUUAAACUCAGGCCAGGAAACAGCAGCACAUGCCAACUGGCCAAGGAGAAGCUACUUGGGCCCUGCCCAGGGUCUAUUGGGUAAACGUCUGUCCCUAGAGACAGACACUCACUCAUUCAGUCCUUUUUUUUUUUUUUUUCCCAGAGAUGGGGUCUUGCCCAGGCUGGAGUGCAGUGGUGCAUUCAUAGCUCACUGCAGCUGCAACCUCCUAGAUUCAAGCGAUCCUCCCACUUUUAGCCUCUUGAGCAUCUGGGACUACAGGCACGUGCCGUCGUACCUACCUGAUUUUUUUCUUUUUUUGUAGAGAUGGGGGUCUCACUAUGUUGCCCAGGCUGGUCUAGAACUCCUGGCCUCUAGGGGUCCUCCCAUCUCAGCCUCCUGAUGUGCUAGGAUUAUAAGUGUGAGCCACCACUCCUGGCCCCAUUCAUUCAUUCAUUCAUUCACUCAGUCACUCACACAUUCAACGGCCAUUUCCUGAGCACCUACUGUGUGCCCAGCACUGUGCUAGAUGCUGAAGGUACAACAGUGAGCCAUGCAAGCACAGCAGGGGACACUAGGGGAUGUUCUGCAGGGGACCCACACACAAGCAGCAUCCCAGCCACUCUGGGGCACAGGGACAGGCUUUCCCUAGGAAGUGGCAUCUGAGGAGGCCUGGAGGUUGAGUAGACAUCAUACAGGUUGGGGCGUGAGGGAAGGGUGUUCCUGGCAGCAGGAACAGUGUGCACAAAGGGGCUGGGGUGAGUGGGGCUGAAGGGAGCACAGACAGGCCAGCACUUGGAGGGAAGUUGGGGGCAGGCGCAGGCCAAGCUGGGUGGUUGGCAGAGCCAGAUCUGGAGGGUACCUGACUGGAGCUGGCGGGCCAACGGGGAGCCUGUCACUGCACCUAGGAGAUGGUGAAGAGGAAGGGGGUGGUGCUGGCAGAAAAGAGAGGAGUGGGGGGAUUCCAGAGAAUCCAGGAAUGGCAUUUCCAGGGCUCCACGACUGGGCACUGGGGGAAAGGUCUGCUUCUGAUGUCUGGUCGGUCUCUGGCUUGGAUGGAUGGUGGCGCCAUGGAUGGAUGGUGAGCUGAGAGGAGGGGACUCCCAGGGAGGAUGGCGAUGGGCAUCAGGUACACCCAGGCAGGCGUCCCAGGCAGGACUUGUCUUUGCGCUCCCAGGUCCUCUGCGACCUGGCUUCGUCUGGCUCCGUCCUUCUGCCCUCUACUCCCCUCCGCCCUGAGGACACCUGAGAGCUGAGGAACCCCACUACCCUCUGGAACCCACACCCGGGGAGGGCACAGGAGAGGUGGCACCUCCUCUGGCUGCCAGGCUGCCCAGCCAAGGCUGUUUCUGAUCAGCCUGCAUGCCUCUCUCUGGGCAGGGGCAGCUGCCCUGCUGCUCUUAGGGGGCAUCUAGUGGGGUCCUUGCCCUUUUCUCUGCCCUGGACCCCUCUCAAAAAGGGGCCUACGUGCCUCCUGGAGCCUCCAGCCUGGGCUCAACUGUGGGGACCCGGGAGACUCAGUUCCUCUCUCUGUCCCCCGCUCGCUCUCCCAGGCCACCUUGAACAGAGGAUCCUGCAGGUGCUGACAGAGGCUGGCUCCCCGGUGAAACUUGCCCAGCUGGUGAAGGAAUGCCAAGCGCCCAAGAGGGAGCUCAACCAAGUCCUCUACCGAAUGAAAAAGGAGCUGAAAGUCUCCCUCACAGCCCCCGCCACCUGGCGCUUGGGCGGGACUGAUCCUGAAGGCGAGGGUCCUGCAGAGCUGGCCUUGUCCAGCCCUGGUAACUGCCACCCUGGGGAGGCGGGUCUGACCCUUGCAGGGAGCAUCCUGGCAAUGGACAAGCACAGAUUUGAGCCUGGGUUCGAAUCUGAGCUCUGCCACAUGGGAGCUCACAGGUUUCCUCUCUGUGCCUUGGUUUCUUUUUCUGGUUGAUGGAGCUCACAGCAGGGCUGCUUGGUAGGGGUUGCUGAGAGGAGGCCCUGUGUCAGGCUCAGCCCAGCCCUGCACACAGGAAGUACUCGGCAGAACACUAACAAAAAUAAUAGAAAAUCAUCAUGAUGGAGGCAGCAACGACGCAAUGGUCCUAAUCACAGAACACAUGCAGUCCCACCCGCCCCCCUUUUCUAGCUUUACAGCCCACAGCCAGAAAGAGCUGCCAUUUAUCAUGCACUUAAGAUUAGCCGGGCACUGUUUGGGGGUUCACCCAGCCCUCACACAACCCCAGGAGGCAAAGGAGGCUGAGCCCCGGAGAAGUUAAUCAGCAGGAAGCCGCAGCUGCCAGGGCGCAGGCAGGAUUUGAAGUCAAGUGUGUUUAACUCUGGAGUCUGAGUUUGCAACUACCGGCCUUGCCACUUAUCCCUAGGGAGCUGCCCACCUUUGUGGGGUGGAGGCCUGGUGCUAUCUUCUGUCCCCCACCCCUCUGACCCAUCUUUCUUUCUCCAGCCGAGAGGCCCCAGCAAUAUGCAGCUAGAAUUCCAGAGACCCCUGGCCCUCAGUUCAGCCAACAACGGGAGGAAGACAUCUACAGGUUUCUCAAAGACAAUGGUCCCCAGAGGGCCCUGGUCAUCGCCCAGGCACUGGGAAUGAGGACAGCAAAAGAUGUGAACCGAGACCUGUACAGGAUGAAGAGCAGGCACCUUCUGGAUGUGGAUGAGCAGUCCAAAGCAUGGACGAUUUACCGCCCAGAAGAUUCUGGAAGAAGAGCAAAGUCGGCCUUAAUUAUGUACCAGCACAAUCCAAUCAACAUGAUCUGCCAGAAUGGACCGAACAGCCAGAUUUCCAUUGCAAACUCUGAAGCCAUCCAGAUUGGACAUGGGAACAUCAUUACAAGUCAGAUAGUCUCCAGGGAGGACGGUUCCACCGGUCCCCGCCACCUCCCUUCAAUGGCACCAGGUGAUUCCUCAACUCGGGGGACCCUAGUUGAUCCCUGGGGGCCCCAGGACAUCCAUAUGGAGCGGUCCAUACUCAGACGGGUGCAGCUGGGACACAGCAACGAGAUGAGGCUUCACGGCGUCCCGUCCGAGGGCCCUGCCCACAGUCCCCCUGGCAGCCCCCCAGUGUUCCAGCGCAGUGGGAAGCAGGCAGCAGACGAGAGAGGAGCUGAAUCCCAGAGGAAGACACUGACGUCCAGAUCAGCUGGGCGGGAUCAGUGGGGCAGACCUACUGCGGGAUCAGUGGGGCAGAAAGACGCUUCCCAGACAGCACAACAGCACGAGCAGAGUCUCUGCCACUGCUGCCGGCCCAGAAGCUUCGUUUGAAGCAAGAAUGCCCAGUCCAGGAGCUCACCCCGAGGGGGAAGCUGCCCAGAUAAUCCACAUGAAAUCGUGCUUUCUCGAGGACGCCACCAUCGGCAACAGCAACAAAAUGUCUAUCAGCCCAGGGGUGGCUGGCCCAGGAGGAGUCGCAGGGUCUGGAGAGGGGGAUCCAGGGGAGGACGCAGGUCCUCGUCCUGCAGACACACAAUCCAGAAGUCACUUUCCUCGAGACAUUGGUCCGUCCAUCACUCCCAGCCACUCGAAGCUCACCCCCAACCUGGAAACUAUGACUCUUGGAAGCAGGAGUCACAAAGCUGCAGAAGGCAGCCACUAUGUGGAUGAAGCCUCACACGAGGGGAGCUGGUGGGGAGGUGGGAUUUAGUGCACAGCCUCAGGUGGGGCUUGGACACAGGCUGGGGGUGGGCGCAUGCUAGGGAAACUAGCCUGCUGCUCUCUGCAUUCCUUAGCGUCUUGUUUGACCUGCUUGCUUCCAGACAUAACUUGCAUGAGUCAGUUUUGGGGGAAUGGACCUGGCAUGGGGAUGGGUUCAGGCCAGGUCUUUUGAUGGCCAGGAGUAGAUGACAGGGAGUUGCCUUGGGGAACCUUUGGUGUGCCGAGAGGAGGUGGGUAGACGGGAGUGGGGCUCGGUCCCCCGGGCCCAGGGGACUCUCCACUCUUUCCUGGGCUCGGGGCGCCUCCCUGGAGUUACCUUCCAUCAUGGCUACCUGCUGUGGUUUGAAUGUUUGAGUCCCAACAAAAUUCAUAUCAAAACAAUCCCAACUGGGUGCAGGGGCUCACGCCUGUAAUCCCAGCACUUUGGGAGGCCGAGGCAGGCGGAUCACGAGGUCAGGAAAUCCAGACCGUCCUGGCUAACAUGGUGAAACCCCGUCUCUACU